AGCUAAACUAGAUAGUAGCAGAGAUUAUAUACUUUCCAUUCAUUGACAAUAUCUCAACAGAACAUUGAGGUAAGGUCAAUAAGCAGAUCCUGUACACCCUCUUAUGUUCCUUGAACCAAAUCUGAACCAAGUCAUUCCACGAUGCCUCAAGAGACUGCCUAAUAACAGUGCUGCAAGUCUUUGAGGCAACCAUAUGAUUCCUAAAUCCCAUAUCAUUUCCUGAGAUACCACACUUUCCAUCUAUUGAGGACCUCUCAACAGAUUGAGCACUAAGUGCUAAUACCACACCUUGAGAGGAAAUCAAUAGAUAGAACUUGGUAUCAAAUUUGUACAUCUUGGUAUCACAUCAUGUCCCAUAUUGUAUGGAUCAGUGACACCAAUAUAUUCUGCAUGUCCAACAAACCAAAUGUAAUAAAUUGAAGCUGUUUGAACCACAUCAUUUCCAAGUUGUAUAGGAUCAGUGAUACUAACAGGUUUCCAAGUUUUUGCAUCAUCUAUUCCAUUAUAGGAGGCUCCAAAAUUCACCAAGAACAUGCAAGACAACUGGCUAGAACUGGGAAGAUCACCUCCACCUGAGCUUCCGAGGAAGACACGUCUCAAGGCGAAUAAUGAGUUUGUGGACAAAUCUAAGACCACAUAUGAUGCUGUCAUAUCUAAGAUUACACCUGUAUCUUAGCCUGAAGAUUGAUCCAGCGAACCUCCUACAAUUGACUUUUCAAAAAUUUAUUUGGAUGAAGUGGGUGGGAUUAAGAAGAUGCACCUUUAUGGUGUUGGUCUUCAAGCACCUUUCUAUGGGCAUGUUGGUGAAUCCUCCGCGCUCGACAUCUCGACUUUGAUGCUAGAGUGCAAGAAUUUGUUGGACAUCGUCUUCAAGAAAUGAAGCAUGAGAUGAGAGAAGAGAUCAAACAAGAAAUAAGGGAAGAAAUGCAACAAGUAUUGCGUGAAGAAUGAGACCUGAAGUGCAACAAGAGGUACAAGAGCAAGUUAAUCAGAUACUACAAGUACAUUGUUCGGGCCUCAUAGCUCGCUUACUUUCCCCUCCUUCUGGUAGACCUGACACGUCCUCGAAUCAUGAAACAAGUCAUAUUUAGGUCAAUUUUAGAUUGUUUUAUGUUAGACAUACUUUGGAUUGUUUC